rnacentral:rRNA from 1 species
GUGCCAGCCGCCGCGGUAAUACGUAGGGUGCGAGCGUUAAUCGGAAUUACUGGGCGUAAAGCGUGCGCAGGCGGUGAUGUAAGACAGAUGUGAAAUCCCCGGGCUCAACCUGGGAACUGCGUUUGUGACUGCAUCACUCGAGUACGGCAGAGGGAGGUGGAAUUCCGCGUGUAGCAGUGAAAUGCGGAGAGAGGCGGAGGAACACCGGUGGCGAAGGCAGCCUCCUGGGCCAGGACUGACGCUCAUUCACGAAAGCGUGGGGAGCAAACAGGAUUAGAUA